GAUGAAGAACGUAGUGAAAUGCGAUAAGUAAUGUGAAUUGCAGAAUUCAGUGAAUCAUCGAAUCUUUGAACGCACAUUGCGCCCAUCAGUAUUCUGUUGGGCAUGCCUGUCCGAGCGUCAUUUCAACCCUCAGGGCCCGUUCGCGGGAACUGGUGUUGGGGAUCGGCCUCCCCCCGGAGGCCGGCCCCGAAAUGCAGUGGCGGCUCUACCGCGAUCUCCUCUGUGUAGUAGCGAUACCUCGCAGCUGGAUAGUGGUGGUGCCACGCCGUAAAAUCCCAACUUUACCAAGGUUGACCUCGGAUCUGGUAGGAAUACCCGCUGAACUUAAGCAUAUCAAUAAGCGGAGGA
rnacentral:misc_RNA from 1 species